UACGGAGGGUGCGAGCGUUGUCCGGAAUUACUGGGCGUAAAGGGCGCGUAGGCGGCCUUCUAAGUCGAACGUGAAAUCCCCGGGCUCAACCCGGGAACUGCGUCCGAUACUGGAAGGCUUGAAUCCGGGAGAGGGAUGUGGAAUUCCAGGUGUAGCGGUGAAAUGCGUAGAUAUCUGGAGGAACACCGGUGGCGAAGGCGACAUCCUGGACCGGUAUUGACGCUGAGGCGCGAAAGCCAGGGGAGCAAACGGG
rnacentral:rRNA from 1 species